rnacentral:lncRNA from 1 species
UCCCGCCCUCCCAUUGGCUAAGGCGCCACCGUGACCCCGCCCCAGAGUACUACAGCAGGCGCUCAGGGGGCUGGGCCCGCCUCCGGGAAGGAGCCUUAAAGAACCAGCUGCCCGGUGGUGUCCGCGCCCAGUCCCCCAGAGUGGUCGUGCAGGGAGGUCCUCACAUCUAUGCCCUUGGCUCCCACAUUCCCGGGCCCAACUGCUCACCUCCCAGUUGUCCCUGCCUGACAAGAGGAGGCAGUUCAAUUGAGACUUGAGAUAAACCUGCAAAAGAUGAGGGACCUUAAGGAGCCAGGCAUGCUGAGACAGAAACAUGAACGGAGGGCACAGGAGGCGGGGCCUCCACAAGACCAUGAGUUGGAGGUGGGAGAGACAACUUACCUUAUGCUCCAGACCCCGUGGAUUCUGGAUCCUGUGUAUCCUCAAGACUCUGUCCAAGCCACAGGAGGCUAGUAGAGGCUUUGAAGGGUGGCACUGCAACCCACGCACACUGCCUGCCAGCCCCUUCAGACAGCCCAGUAGACGCCCUAGAGAAGGGGGGAAGCAUCCGUGAUAACUGGCUGGCCAAUAACCAACCAUUCAUUGUUUCCUGUUCCAAUCACUUUCCAUUUCAACAUUUAAUCUGCAACAAAACCCUGAGACUGGA